UACGGAGGGUGCAAGCGUUAUCCGGAUUCACUGGGUUUAAAGGGUGCGUAGGUGGCUUGGUAAGUCAGUGGUGAAAGCCCGGAACUCAACUCCGGAACUGCCAUUGAUACUGCUUAGCUUGAAUCAGGUCGAGGUGGAUGGAAUAUUACAUGUAGCGGUGAAAUGCUUAGAUAUGUAAUAGAACACCGAUUGCGAAGGCAGUUCACUAGGCCUGUAUUGACACUGAGGCACGAAAGCGUGGGGAUCAAACAGG
rnacentral:rRNA from 1 species